rnacentral:rRNA from 1 species
CUACGGGCUGCAGCAGUAGGGAAUCUUGCGCAAUGGGCGAAAGCCUGACGCAGCAACGCCGCGUGAACGAUGAAGCUUUUCGGAGUGUAAAGUUCUGUCAGUGGGGACGAAAUUUGACGGUACCCACAGAGGAAGCACCGGCUAACUCCGUGCCAGCAGCCGCGGUAAUACGGAGGGUGCAAGCGUUGUCCGGAAUCAUUGGGCGUAAAGAGUUCGUAGGUGGUAUGUUAAGUCUGGUGUUAAAGCCCGAAGCUCAACUUCGGUUCGGCACUGGAUACUGGCAAACUUGAAUGUGGUAGAGGUAAAGGGAAUUCCUGGUGUAGCGGUGAAAUGCGUAGAUAUCAGGAGGAACAUCGGUGGCGUAAGCGCUUUACUGGGCCAUAAUUGACACUGAGGAACGAAAGCCAGGGUAGCAAAUGGGAUUAGAUACCCCCGUAGUC